rnacentral:rRNA from 1 species
AACGUAGGAGACAAACGUUAUCCGGAGUUACUGGGCGUAAAGCGCGUGUAGGCGGUCCGGUAAGUCCGCUGUGAAAGUCGGGGGCUCAACCCUCGAAUGCCGGUGGAUACUGUCGGGCUAGAGUGCGGAAGAGGCGAGUGGAAUUCCUGGUGUAGCGGUGAAAUGCGCAGAUAUCAGGAGGAACACCGAUGGCGAAGGCAGAUCUCUGGGCCGUAACUGACACUGAGGAGCGAAAGCAUGGGGAGCGAACAGG